GAUGAACGCUGGCGGCGUGCCUAAUACAUGCAAGUCGAGCGAACGGAUGAGAAGCUUGCUUCUCUGAUGUUAGCGGCGGACGGGUGAGUAACACGUGGAUAACCUACCUAUAAGACUGGGAUAACUUCGGGAAACCGGAGCUAAUACCGGAUAAUAUUUUGAACCGCAUGGUUCAAAAGUGAAAGACGGUCUUGCUGUCACUUAUAGAUGGAUCCGCGCUGCAUUAGCUAGUUGGUAAGGUAACGGCUUACCAAGGCAACGAUGCAUAGCCGACCUGAGAGGGUGAUCGGCCACACUGGAACUGCGACACGGUCCAGACUCCUACGGGAGGCAGCAGUAGGGAAUCUUCCGCAAUGGGCGAAAGCCUGACGGAGCAACGCCGCGUGAGUGAUGAAGGUCUUCGGAUCGUAGAACUCUGUUAUUAGGGAAGAACAUAUGUGUAAGUAACUGUGCACAUCUUGACGGUACCUAAUCAGAAAGCCACGGCUAACUACGUG
rnacentral:rRNA from 1 species